GGUGGUUCUAGGGUGAUGCACCGUAGAAUCAGAUUCUUUCCUGUCUGGUCUGGGUGCGUCAGCCGAGAACCUCA
rfam:Myotis lucifugus cont2.3760, whole genome shotgun sequence.